AGUGAACGCUGGCGGUAGGCCUAACACAUGCAAGUCGAACGGCAGCACAGUAAGAGCUUGCUCUUACGGGUGGCGAGUGGCGGACGGGUGAGGAAUACAUCGGAAUCUACUUUUUCGUGGGGGAUAACGUAGGGAAACUUACGCUAAUACCGCAUACGACCUACGGGUGAAAGCAGGGGAUCUUCGGACCUUGCGCGAUUGAAUGAGCCGAGGUCGGAUUAGCUAGUUGGCAGGGUAAAGGCCCACCAAGGCGACGAUCCGUAGCUGGUCUGAGAGGAUGAUCGGCCACACUGGAACUGAGACACGGUCCAGACUCCUACGGGAGGCAGCAGUGGGGAAUAUUGGGCAAUGGGCGCAAGCCUGAUCCAGCCAUACCGCGUGGGUGAAGAAGGCCUUCGGGUUGUAAAGCCCUUUUGUUGGGAAAGAAAAGCAGUAGGUGAAUACCUCGCUGUUCUGACGGUACCUAAAGAAUAAGCAACGGCUAACUUCGUG
rnacentral:rRNA from 1 species